rnacentral:rRNA from 1 species
UGCCAGCCGCCGCGGUAAUACGGAGGAUCCAAGCGUUAUCCGGAAUCAUUGGGUUUAAAGGGUCCGCAGGCGGUCUAUUAAGUCAGAGGUGAAAUCCUAUCGCUCAACGAUAGAACUGCCUUUGAUACUGGUAGACUUGAGUUAUUGUGAAGUAGUUAGAAUGUGUAGUGUAGCGGUGAAAUGCAUAGAUAUUACACAGAAUACCGAUUGCGAAGGCAGAUUACUAACAAUAUACUGACGCUCAGGGACGAAAGCGUGGGUAGCGAACAGGAUUAGAUA